CACGAUGCAGUGAGAAACUUCGACUGAUCUCCUCACAAGAGAAAGUUUCUGAUUACAGUGCUGGUGAGGAAGAUGAACUGUUAAGCUUUUCUUCUCUUUUUCUUCAGUAGAAACUUUUUGUUUUCAAUGGAAUAUUUUCUUUUCUUGUUGUUUCCAUUCUGAGGUUCUCUCAUAUUUAUAGACAAAUUCUUUGGUGGGAUUUGAAUUCCUUUCUUCCCGUUCUGAUGAGAAUCUUUUUCUGUUACAGAAGAAGACAAAAAUCGUUCACAGCUUCCCGUUGUGGUCCUAGCAGUACAAGGAUCGACUCAUGUUCUUUUUGGAUUGGCACUUCAAAUCGUGGAGAGAGCUUUUGCUGUGUCAUCUUCAAAAGGUCGACUCUUAAUUCUUAAGGGUCAGCUCAUCUUCAUCAGGAGUCGCCUCUUUAAACACAAGGGUCGACUCAUGCUUUAGUUUUUCGGCCGACGCUGAGACUGAGCAGGGGUCGACUCUUCAAUUUCGGAGGUCGACUCAUUUUGAACAAGGAUCGACUCUUCAAGCUUUUCUCAGGCGAUAAAAAACUUUUUGUUUACUACACAAGGGUCAACUCAUGUUUUGCGGAGGUCGACUCUUUGACUGUGUUUCUUGAAUAAAACUUAUCAGAAUCAACUUAAACUUGUCCUUUUUUCUUAGAAGUUGACUCAAGUCUUUCAAAUAGAAAACUUUAGAUUCUUUUCAGAUCUCCAUAGACUAGAUUAAGAUCAAUUCCUUUUAGAACAUGUCCAAUGAGAUAUUUGCGAAGAACUUAAGAUUUUGCAGUGCUUCAAUUCUUCUGAUUUUUCUUGACUUAUAAAACUUCACAAUUAAGCCAAUGUCAUCAGUACACAACAUGAUCUCAAGUGUUUUAUAAUCAUCAAAAUUCAUCCUUUAGGGUUGACAAUUUCUUAUCAGUCUUUUGUAAUUACUACUCUCUUCUAUUAUAUUUUUCGCUGAUGACAAAAAGGGGGAGAAGAGUUAGGAAAACAAGAACUAUGUAUAAAGGGUAAAGAAGGUAAGUAAAUUAAAUAAUGCACAAAUUUAGAGGGAGCCAAGGGAAUCAAAUGCACUAAUCUAAGGGAGCUAAAUGAACUACUGUUAUACAAAUUAAGAACUCACAUGAUCACACAAAUUCCAAGAGAAAGGGGGAGCAUCAUAAUAUUGAAGUUUAUUGCUCACCUUUUUCAUAUCUCGAAUAAAUUAAAAAGAUGAGCAUACAUUCUUGAUUGAAUUUACUUAUGCAAUUUAUACUUGUUUGAAAACACUCAAUGUUUUGUCAUCAUAAAAAAGGGGGAGAUUGCUGAGUAAUUGAUUAAUCUCUAACUUGGUUUUAAUGUACCAAAACAUUUUGAGUGUAUUCUUUGUUGGACUAACAGUUUUAAACAAGUAUCUUCAGGAUAACGACGCUACAACUUCUAAAAGAAUAACUUAGAAAUGGUUCAUGGAUCUUAGAGUCAAGCUUUGGAACC
rnacentral:lncRNA from 1 species